AAGAAAAAAAAAUCUGGUUCGAUUCAAGCAAAAGAAGAGAACUUAAGUUCAUGGUGGAGCUCUUAUUCAGCAAUUAUUGGUUCAAUUCAGAUAAAUUAAAAGAGAAAUCUGGUUCAAAGAUAGAAAUAUAUAGAGCAAUUGGUUUGGUUCGAUCUAAUGAAGUUGACCCGCUUCAGUAUUAUUGGUUCGGUUCAGAUAAUUAAAAAAGAAAUCUGGUUCAAAGAUGGAAAUAUAUAGAAUAAUUGAUUCUGUCCAAUGAAGCAAGUUGAUCUGGUUCGAAUCAAGCACAAACAGAGAAAAAUUAUAAAUUAUUUGAAGAACUUGAGCCAGUUCAAGAUGGCACCCAACAACCCGAUUUGGUUCAAACAAAGAAAGAGAAAUUGGUGGAGCCCACAUUUAAUUUAACAAAGAAAGAGAAUGAUACUAUGUGGCAAAGUUUAAGAAAAAUAAUGUAUAUGAGAUAGAUAUAGAUAUAGAUAUUAUCAAUUUUACUAAGUUCUUGGCAUCUAAUGAUUAUCAAAAGUUUAUAAUAAAUACUAUUCUUAUAAUAUCAAUAGUAUAUAGAGUUAAACUGGAAUAUUAUUGAUAACAAACAGAUAACGUAUGUUGAAAUCAAAUUUUAUAUUUUUUCGAUAUUAUUCUUUUGUGCAUCAAGUGGAUACAAUAAUAAAUGACUAAAAAUAAAUAUCUCUCAAAAAGUGAUNAUAUCAAUAGUAUAUAGAGUUAAACUGGAAUAUUAUUGAUAACAAACAGAUAACGUAUGUUGCUAUCAAUUUAUUUUUGGUGGAGUUUUCAAAUCGAUGAUCGAUAUCGUUGAACAUGAUCUAAACUAUUGAAAGUAUCUAGAAAUCAAAUUUUAUAUUUUUUCGAUAUUAUUCUUUUGUGCAUCAAGUGGAUACAAUAAUAAAUGACUAAAAAUAAAUAUCUCUCAAAAAGUGAUGAUAUGAUAUUGUAAUCUAGAUCAAGAAUAUAAAUAUUAUUUUAAAUUUAAAAAAUUUUCUAACAAAAUUUUAACUAAUUUAGAUUUUUUUUACAUCGUUAAACGAGCAAAAGUCUCAUAUCGAUCAUUAAAAUUACAAAUUCUGUAACUCUUUGAUUAUUAGGUUAAUGAUGUAGAAAAGAUUUGAAAUUUGAUUUCUAAAUACUUCAAGUGAUAUAGAUCAUAUUCAACUGUCAUACCCUGGACUUCAACGGAAGCUUACCAAUCACGUGCACAGACCCGCCGUCUACACCACAAUCUCAAGUGUACACCAGGUGUCUACAAUCAACAUAGUAAAAGUAUAACAUCUUAACCAGGUGAUCAGAGCAAAACUAGAAGUUCAAAAACUUAUACAAGUACAAAACCUUAUUUCAGCUGAUAAGAAUAAAGUACAAUCUACAUAAUCUUAGUAUACAACACUGAACUACAUAACUUGUAGAGGUUCGUCUAUUUAACAUCGAGAAGGCUCUAGCUAGCCGCUGACCUCUCGCCAGGAACCCUAACCUUUCCCGCUGUGGAAGGCUCUGCAUAAAAACAACCAACAAAAGGGCGUGAGAACUAUUAAACAAUAGUUCCCAGUGGGUAAGUGUAACGACCCAACCCACUAGCAAUAAUAACUCGUUGGGCCCAACCACCGGCCCAAAAUGCUUAAGACCAGUUAUUAUUACUAGUGUCUAAGUCUCUUAUAUACCCAAUCAUAUCCUCAUUCCUAUCCAAUGUGGGAUUAUUGGGGUGUGACAGACUCCUCCC
rnacentral:lncRNA from 1 species